rnacentral:tRNA from 1 species
GGCUGUAGCUCAGUGGCAGAGUGCUUGCCUAGCAUGCGUGAGGCACUGGGUUUGAUCCUCAGCACCA